rnacentral:rRNA from 1 species
UGGAUCAGAACGAACGCUGGUCGCAUGCUUAACACAUGCAAGUCGAACGGAUGGCUUCGGCAUCAGUGGCGCACGGGUGCGUAACGCGUGGGAACCUGCCUCGUGGACGGGAAUAACUCCGGGAAACUGGAGCUAAGACCCGAUGAGCCCUGUGGGGGAAAGAUUUAUCGCCAUGAGAGGGGCCCGCGUCCGAUUAGGUAGUUGGCGGGGUAACGGCCCACCAAGCCGUCGAUCGGUAGCUGGUCUGAGAGGAUGAUCAGCCACACUGGGACUGAGACACGGCCCAGACUCCUACGGGAGGCAGCAGUGGG